rnacentral:rRNA from 1 species
AUUGAACGCUGGCGGCAUGCCUAACACAUGCAAGUCGAACGGCAGCAUGAAAUGGGGUAACCCAUUUUGAUGGCGAGUGGCGGACGGGUGAGUAAUAUGUAGGAAUCUACCUAGAGGUGCGGGAUAACUUAGGGAAACUUAAGCUAAUACCACAUAAGCCCCACGGGGGAAAGCAGGGGACCGCAAGGCCUUGCGCCUUAUGAUGAGCCUACAUCGGAUUAGCUUGUUGGUGGGGUAAAGGCCUACCAAGGCGACGAUCCGUAGCUGGUCUGAGAGGAUGAUCAGCCACACUGGGACUGAGACACGGCCCAGACUCCUACGGGAGGCAGCAGUGGGGAAUAUUGGACAAUGGGCGCAAGCCUGAUCCAGCAAUGCCGCGUGUGUGAAGAAGGCCUUAGGGUUGUAAAGCACUUUCAGUGGGGAGGAAGUUGAGUUUGCUAAUACCAGAUUCAAUUGACGUUACCCACAGAAGAAGCACCGGCUAACUCUGUGCCAGCAGCCGCCGUAA